UACAGAGGGUGCAAGCGUUAAUCGGAGUUACUGGGCGUAAAGGGCGCGUAGGCGGAUGUAUAAGUGAGGUGUGAAAUCCCUGGGCUUAACCUAGGAACUGCAUUUUAUACUGUGCAUCUUGAGUACUGUAGAGGGUAGUGGAAUUUCCGGUGUAGCGGUGAAAUGCGUAGAGAUCGGAAGGAACACCAGUGGCGAAGGCGGCUACCUGGACAGAUACUGACGCUGAAGCGCGAGAGCGUGGGGAGCAAACAGG
rnacentral:rRNA from 1 species